GUAGUAGUUCAGUUGGUAGAGCAUGAGGCUCUUAAUCUCAGGGUUGUGAGUUUGAGCCCUGUGUUGGGCAACA